AGCAGCAGCCGCGGUAAUACAGAGGAUGCAAGCGUUAUCCGGAAUUACUGGGCGUAAAGCGCACGUAGGCGGAUCAGAAAGUCAGAGGUGAAAUCCCAGGGCUCAACCUUGGAACUGCCUUUGAAACUCCUGAUCUUGAGGUCGAGAGAGGUGAGCGGAAUUCCGAGUGUAGAGGUGAAAUUCGUAGAUAUUCGGAGGAACACCAGUGGCGAAGGCGGCUCACUGGCUCGAUACUGACGCUGAGGUGCGAAAGCGUGGGGAGCAAACAGGAUUAGAGACCCCGGUAGUCCCUGUCUCUUAUAC
rnacentral:rRNA from 1 species